AUUGGAAGAAAGAGAACAAGAGAGUGCAAAUAAUUGAAAACCUGUGUGAAAAAAUAAUGACAGAAAACUUCACUAAGCUGGUGAAGGAAAUACAGAUACAAAUCCAGAAAGCACAGA